rnacentral:tRNA from 1 species
GCACUUGCAGCAUCCAGAAAUUCCUGGGUCAGGGAUCAAAACCUGAGCCACAGUAGUGACAACACUGAAUCUUUAACCACUGGUCCACCAGGGAACCCCCAGUAGUCAAUGGUCUUUUGAGUAAACUGGCCCUGACAUCCCUCAUGGUAAAUACCUACUGGUGUAUAAAACUGUAGGAUAUUAUAGGGUAGGAUGGAUAAUUAACCCUGGAGCAAUGGACAUCAAAUUAUAAUGUGUUUACAAUCCAACUAAGGAUCUUGUUAGAGCAACUAUUCAGAAUUGCUAAGUGGCCCUGGGAGUCUGAAUUCUGAUCAUACAUGUUGGAUGAUUCAGAUAGAAGUGAUCUGUCGGCCAGACCCUUAGAAGUCCUGGCUCACAGAGGUAACUUCUCUGUGGUAAGUUUAUGGAAGAACCUUACUAACUUAAAGGUGUCGUCCCUCAGGCUUACCAUCUAAAAGAAAGUAAUUUUCAUUGAGGUAUCAGGGGGAGGUAGCUAUUAAAAUGUGCCUAUAUUAACUUGAAAAAUAAGUAUAUUUAAUAUAUCAAGGACUAUUAGUAUACUGAGCUUAAAAAAUACUUUGCUAGACUUCAAGCAGGAGCAGAAUUUUGAGGGACUGGAACAGGGAAGAAUUAAUAGGCAGUCAGAAACAUAUAGAAUGAAUCACUGCAAUAGGGCUCAAGCACACUAGGGAAUAGCUGGCCAUCGACCGAGAGUAGGAGGACUGAGAUUUCUAGAUUGGACUAAAUAAUGAUACAUUAGCCAUGUCUAUGCAUUACCUUCCAGUUUAAAAAAUGUUUUCAUUUAAAAUUAAAUAUAUACACGCAUUCAUAACAACCCUUGUAAAGAAAUUAGUAAUAUCAGAAGUAUAUUGGCAAAAUGUUAAAUUUUCUGUUUAAAUCUGUUUUCACUACUUUUUUCCUUUGUGAGCUCAGACAGAAGAUUAACCUCUCUAUGAACUGGACCUUCUCAUACUAAGUAAAGUAAGUCAGAAUGAGAAAGACAAAUACCAUAGGAUAUCACUUCUAUGUGAGUGUAAAAUACAGCACAAGUGAACCUAUCUACAAAACAGAAACAGACUCACAAACAGAUUCACAAACCCCUUGUGCUUGCCAAGGGGGAGGGGAGAGGGAAUGGGAUCAGUGGGGAGUUUGGGGUUAGUAGAUGCGAACUAUUACAUUCAGAAUGGAUAAGCAGUGAGGUCCCACUGUACAGCACAGGGAACUAUAUCCAAUCUCUUGGGGUAGAACAUGAUGGAAGAUAAUAUGAGAAAAAGAAUGUAUGUUGUAUAUAUGUAUGACUGGAUCACUCUGCUGUACAGCAGAAAUCGACACAAUUGCUAUAAAUCAACUCUAUUCUAAUAAAAAUAAAAUUUAAAAAAGACGGACACAGAAGAUUUAGUCUUCACAGUGUCUGACACUUGGUAAACUUUUCUUAUUUUUCAUUUGAAAGGGAAACUGAGACACAGAAAAUGAAGUGGGUCAAAAUAGCUGGCCAAACAAUUUAUUAAGUCCCUUUCUGCUCUCCAUGCAGAGAGUUUAUGUGUAUAUAUAUCAUAAUUUAAAGGAGACCAAAAAAAGUAGCAAUGCUGUCUGUUUGAGCCAAAUCAGAAUGUAUAGACUAGAUAGCAUUUUGUGACCAAAAAAGCACAGACUUCCUCCAGACCUCCUCUGGCUCCAUAAAGACUAGUCCCCUCAACACUCAUGCCGAGUAUGACACUUCCUAAUGCCCUGGCCAGUGACAUCUACCACCUUUCCCAUGGGGAAUAAACUAAAAUAGAAAUAAAUCACCUCCAGUCACUCUGGCAAGAGUAAAAUGCACCAAAGUUGUGAUUUCCUUAAAGCUUUUGAUCUGUUAAACACCAACAGUUAUAAAGCAUAACGUGAGAUUUUUCUUCUCUCACUCUGCUAAGUAUUGAACUCCAAAUUACCCGGUGAACACUUGGAGCAUGUGCUCUGCAUUAUGUAUGGAGGAGCGAUAUUGACAGUGAGUGCACUUAACCAAACCCACCCCAUGCUCUGAGGUUAAAACCAGAGAGUAUCUGUGAUCAAUGCCCUCAUGGAGCUGUUAAAAAGCCAAUGUGUACAAGACUCUGGUCUCCAGAUGAGCCCCACAACAUGCUUAUUGAGUAAAAGGGGAAAAAACAAACAAACAAAAAAAAAAAAACAAAAAACAGUGGACCAAUGUGUACCAAGUAGCUAGUUGCAAAGGGAACCUGAUCUGGAAAGGAUUUUAACCUCUGGUCUUCAAGUGUCCCUUUCCUUUCUGUCCUGUGUCUUUUUAGUUAAAAGCUUUGACAGAUGAGCACCGUGAGUCAUCUUUUUUUUUUUCCAACUCAGGAGGUAGUUUUGUCUUUCCUUCGGUUUCAUUUUAUACUCACAAUUUAAGAUUCUCAUUAAUCUCAUGCUAUUUGUACCUAAAUCAUUACACCCAGGAUUGCUGACGGAUAGAUAGAUGGUUGGGACGGAGAAGCAAUGGUAGAAGAUUAAACUUCAAGCCUCCAAGCAAAACUCUGUGAAGGCCUUACUCCCCUCAAACCAGAAUCCUCAGGAUAAAUAUAGGACACAUCCUGCCUUAAACCAGGGGAAAUUGCAAAAUUUCAGUGCAGCACAUAUAGUGGACCAUUAAUCUCAUGCCAGUUGAUUUUUUUUUCUGUAACAGUAACUUCAAUUCUCACUAUUUCUAGCAAAAGUCAUUCCAAUCUUUAGCUACAGACAGAGUCCUGCUCACUCCUACUAAAUGCUCCCCUGGUAGGUGUUACCAUUCUUCUGGGCUCUGAGUUCAGGUCACCAUGUAAAGUGUUCUCCUGCUAGCUUUUUAGAGUAUGAUGCUAAUGAAGUCAGAGAUGGCUGCAGGCCUGAUUUAGAAUACCAGGGAUGACAUCACUUGAACAGCCAGGAGAGACAGAAUUAGCAGGUCCAGAUUCCAUAACUCACUGAGAGUACAGCCAGGCCACAGCUGGACCAGCUUCUGGUUUGGCUUGCUGUAUGACAUUUGGGCUAUAUCUGAAAACCUUUGAAAGGACAAGCUAGUUUCUGGAAUUCAUUGUAAUUUCAAGUUUGUGUAUUUGACAGUAUACUCACAAUUUCAAGUGAGAGAAUCCCAACUAGCUUGAGGAAAAAAAAAAUUCUUGCCAGUGAAAAGUGAAAUAUAAAUCUAGAAUCAAGUACAGCAGGGUCCAGCUCCUUAACAGAUUAAUAAUCAGUCUUUCUUUCCCUCCAUCUCUCUAUCCCUUUGUCUCUGUCUCCUUUUGUCCCCCUCUCCUUCCCUCCCUGCAUCCCUCGAGCUUUGUUUUUUUCUUCACUAGUUUUAUUCUCAAGUACAUUUUCUUUCCCCACAGAGGGGAAGUUUGUAGGGGCAGCUUUUGGAAGCAUUUUCAUCCCCUGUAGUUUUCAUAAAUGGCCUGGUGAAUUCUCUGAGUCAUCAGGCUGGGUCUCAUUCACCACUCCUAAACCAAUCGCUAAGGUCAGGUGUUCUCACUGGCCAGUUGUGAGCCAAAUACCUUCUCCAGGGCCUAAAGGCACAAGCAGAGUUCCAAGAGAACAGGACAGGAUGUUCUUCAAAGAAAGGAUAGUUGACAGUUCAAAAAAUUACAUUUCACUUUAUCAGCCAUGGUCAAGCAGUUUAUAAUUGUCCAGCACUUAGACUGGUUUUGUAUCUCAAAACUGUGCUUUGCAUCUCUUUUAUCUUAAGCAGGUUAGUGUACAACUUCCAUUUUCUUUAGUUCUGCAUUGAAGAAGUCUGCUUGCUUUCAAGUUAUGGUACAUGAACACUGUUAAAGAUGUCUUUUGUCUACAGACUCCCCUGGUGAAAUGUCUCAAGGGGUUGUAAUGCUGUUGGUAACCAUAUUGAACUAAAAAGGUUUCCAACUGCACAGGGAAUGUGUUCCUGUGUUGUCCUCCAAGCUUCUUGUGGCUUGCAGUACAGUGGUGUAAGUACUAGCAUACUAAUGGAUCUGCUGUGGCAGUGUUCCACUUGACCAAUUACAGGGACAAGGCAGGCUGAGCAUCAGCAGUGCUGAAAAGAAACCCAUCAAAUAGGCUUGAGUUUCUUGGGGACAGCUAAGCUUGUAGGAAAGCUAUUGUUUCCUAGAUCUUCUGAAGGUCUCUGAUCUUUUCAAAGUGAAUUAGCAAGGUGGAUUAGUCCUUCCAAUUUCAUACAAUUAAAAUUUAGAAAAAAAAUCACAUAGCAAAUCGUAGCGCAAAUCAUUCUGUUAUUUCAUGGGUGUCUGCUGGAUAAUGUCCUACAGAAGUGUAUAAGGAGGCUAACUAGAAUUUCCCACAAUAUCCUGUAUAGGACAUGAUUUUAAUCAAAUGCAUGCACUCAACCAAGCCAGACAGAUGUUGCUUUGGUGUUGGCGAUUACAAAGAAAAGGUAAAGGUUUUCAAAUAUUACAUGCCUUCAGCUUUGGGAAAUUUUUGAAUUUUUUUUCCUAUUUAUGAAUUGAAUUGCUAAGAGAUAGUUGAAUUUUCAUACAGGUGAAUACCUAAAUAUUAAGAGACAAGUAGGGCCAUGAAUGUCUAUGCUCCUUAUCAAGAACUUACAAAGUGUGCAUGUCAUAGUCUACCUUCUUUGCAACGCCAAAGCCCAAGCUUCAUUCAGUGUUACUCCCACCACUCUACUUCUUGGUAGAAGACUGAUGAAGAAGGGAACUAGAGAAAUAUACUUGAGACCUCUGGGUAAUAUAGACAGAUGGUUUUUCCUGUUCCAAUCAUCUCUCUACAUAUUUUUCCCCCUGCUGUCCUCUCUUUUGAAUACUAGCUCUUCCUCAAAACUCUCUUUGAAAGAAUGUCACCAUAGCAGAAUCUGUAUCAUGCAAACACUGUACACUGAACAUAUAGAUGCUAUUUCAUUUAUCUCCAUGGAUACAGAUAGAAACUGUCAAACUCAUGGGUAAAGGCAGUGAGAGAGAAACUAUUACCUUCAUUAGAUGUGCAAAAAUUUUUAUGCACACAAGUUAGCAUGUAUCUUUCUCUUCAGACCUGUAAGCAGCACAACAGUGGUUCCUGCCAUAUCUUCUGACACAACUAAGAUCAGGCACCUGCAUGGGAGUCACAGUUGCUAAUUUACCAUGUUUUCACCAUUUAUAAUUUAUCCAAAUACAAUUAUUAUUAUUUUUUUGUCUUUUUUUUUUUUUUUUUUUUUUUUUUUUUUUUUGCUAUUUCUUGGGCCGCUCCUACGGCAUAUGGAGGUUCCCAGGC